rnacentral:rRNA from 1 species
UAAUCUUGCGACCGUACUCCCCAGGCGGAACACUUAAUCUGUUAAGUGCAUCACCGCAAUGACAAGCAUCACGACGACUAGUGUUCAUCGUUUAGGGCGUGGACUACCAGGGUAUCUAAUCCUGUUUGCUCCCCACGCUUUCACGCCUUAGCGUCAGUUAUGUUCCAGCAGAUCGCCUUCGCUUUAGGUAUUCCUAGUGAUAUCUACGGAUUUUACCCCUACACCACUAAUUCCAUCUGCCCCUCCCAUACUCUAGGUUACCAGUUUCAAGUGCAGUUCUACAGUUAAGCUGUAGGAUUUCACACCUGACUUGAUAACCCGCCUACGCGUCCUUUACGCCCAGUGAUUCCGAGUAACCGCUUGCACCCUCCGUAUUACCGCGGAUGCUGGCACGGAGUUAGCCGGUGCUUAUUCAUAUGCUACCGUCAUUUUCUUGACAUAUAAAAGGAGUUUACACACCAAAAUGCGUCAUCCUCACGCGGCGUUGCUGCAUCAAGGGUUUCCCC